rnacentral:sRNA from 1 species
AAAUUGGCUUAAGCAACAUUGGUUUGAGGUUGAUUAUCCUUGGCCAGCUGUGCUGAUAGUGAUGGUAUUCUCCCUCCUGCCUCCUCUUCCCUCCGCCCCCACCCCCCACCCAGGUUACCACCUAUUUGCACAAGGACUACAACAACCUGUGGAUUAUCAAGAAACAUAACACAAACUCAGAUCCCCUAGACCCUUCCUUCCCAGUGGAGUUUGUAAGACAUGGAGACAUUAUUCGACUAGAACACAAAGAAUGUCCACUUUAAAAAAUCUGGCGAUGGGAGCAGAAAGAAACUUCCCGGAACUUGCACAGUCACUAUCAUGAGGCCCCCAUGACCCGGAAGCACUAUCAGGUCACCGGCUAUGG